UUACAAACCCGAGCUAUCGUUACGCCUUGGCGUGAAGGAAAGUCCGGACAGCGCAGAGCAACCCACCGGUUAAUGGCCGGCAUCCCGCCUUUGGCGGGGGAGAGAAAGUGCCACAGAAAAUAACUACUCAGGAUGCAAGUCCUGAGAAAAGGUGAAAAUGUGAGGUAAAAGCUCACGAUACCGUUUGGUAACAUCCGGUAUGGGUAAACCUUGGGUGCUGUAAUGCCACGUAUAGGAUUCUUUGAGGGCGGCUCGUCCGAUCCCGCAUUUGCGGAGGAAUCCAGGGUAGGCAGCUAGAUCGCAGCAGUAAUGCUGCGGCCAGAUAAAUGAUAGUUUAGAAACAGAAUCCGGCUUAUGAGGUUUGUAACUUU
rnacentral:RNase_P_RNA from 1 species